rnacentral:rRNA from 1 species
AUUGAACGCUGGCGGCAUGCCUUACACAUGCAAGUCGAACGGUAACGCGGGGCAACCUGGCGACGAGUGGCGAACGGGUGAGUAAUGUAUCGGAACGUGCCCAGUAGUGGGGGAUAGCCCGGCGAAAGCCGGAUUAAUACCGCAUGAGACCUAUGGGUGAAAGCGGGGGAUCGCAAGACCUCGCGCUAUUGGAGCGGCCGAUAUCAGAUUAGGUAGUUGGUGGGGUAAAGGCCUACCAAGCCGACGAUCUGUAGCUGGUCUGAGAGGACGACCAGCCACCCUGGGACUGAGACACGGCCCAGACUCCUACGGGAGGCAGCAGUGGGGAAUUUUGGACAAUGGGCGCAAGCCUGAUCCAGCCAUGCCGCGUGCGGGAAGAAGGCCUUCGGGUUGUAAACCGCUUUUGUCAGGGAAGAAAUCUUCUGGGCUAAUACCUCGGGAGGAUGACGGUACCUGGAGAAUAAGCACCGGCUAACUACGUGCCAGCCGCCGCCGUAACAC